GCUUAACGCGAAGAACCUUACCAACCCUUGACAUGGGACGUAUGGACUUCAGAGAUGAGGUUCUUCAGUUCGGCUGGCGCCCACACAGGUGCUGCAUGGCUGUCGUCAGCUCGUGUCGUGAGAUGUUGGGUUAAGUCCCGCAACGAGCGCAACCCUCAUCUUCAGUUGCCAUCAUUUAGUUGGGCACUCUGAAGAAACUGCCGGUGACAAGCCGGAGGAAGGCGGGGAUGACGUCAAGUCCUCAUGGCCCUUACGGGUUGGGCUACACACGUGCUACAAUGGUGGUGACAAUGGGGAGCGAGGCCGCGAGGCCAAGCCAAUCUCAAAAAGCCAUCUCAGUUCGGAUUGCACUCUGCAACUCGAGUGCAUGAAGUUGGAAUCGCUAGUAAUCGCGCAUCAGCAUGGCGCGGUGAAUACGUUCCCGGGUCUUGUACACACCG
rnacentral:rRNA from 1 species